rnacentral:rRNA from 1 species
AACGAACGCUGGCGGCAUGCCUAACACAUGCAAGUCGAACGAGACCUUCGGGUCUAGUGGCGCACGGGUGCGUAACGCGUGGGAACCUGCCCUUAGGUUCGGAAUAACUCCCCGAAAGGGGUGCUAAUACCGGAUAAUGUCUUCGGACCAAAGAUUUAUCGCCUUUGGAUGGGCCCGCGUUGGAUUAGCUAGUUGGUAGGGUAAAAGCCUACCAAGGCGACGAUCCAUAGCUGGUCUGAGAGGAUGAUCAGCCACACUGGGACUGAGACACGGCCCAGACUCCUACGGGAGGCAGCAGUGGGGAAUAUUGGACAAUGGGCGAAAGCCUGAGCCAGCAAUGCCGCGUGAGUGAUGAAGGCCUUAGGGUUGUAAAGCUCUUUUACCCGGGAUGAUAAUGACAGUACCGGGAGAAUAAGCUCCGACUAACUCCGUG